UACGGAGGAUGCGAGCGUUAUCCGGAUUUAUUGGGUUUUAAGGGUGCGCAGGCGGAUUUUUAAGUCAGCGGUCAAAUCGUGGGGCUCAACCCCAUCCAGCCGUUGAAACUGGGGAUCUAGAGUGUGCGAGAGGUAUGCGGAAUGCGUGGUGUAGCGGUGAAAUGCAUAGAUAUCACGCAGAACCCCGAUUGCGAAGGCAGCAUACCGGUGCACAACUGACGCUCAGGCACGAAAGCGUGGGUAUCGAACAGG
rnacentral:rRNA from 1 species